rnacentral:lncRNA from 1 species
CCCGGUGUGCACCGGGUGGCGGGCCUGGGUGCAGCUGAGGAGGGUGGUAUAGCACGGAGCGGCCCGCGGAGACGGCGGCCCCAGCAGGGCUGGAGGGGGUUGGAAGCGGCCGAGCUGCUGCGCCCUUGAGGGAGGGCGGUGUUCCCCUUCAGACCCGAGGAAACGGAGGACACGGGGAUCCACAGGUCCGGCCUGCAGCUGGGCAGCGCCCCCGGCUGGCAGGGCAUCCUGUCUGCCCCCAGCCCAGCGGGCUGCUUCCGGAUGACGAUGCCUUCCACUGCGAGCGUCCUUUUUCCCUUGGUCCUGUUUUCAG